UACGACGGGUACGGGUUGUGAGAGCAAGAGCCCGGAGAUGGAUUCUGAGACACGAAUCCAGGCCCUACGGGGUGCAGCAGGCGCGAAAACUUUACAAUGCUGGCAACAGCGAUAAGGGAACCUCGAGUGCCAGAUUACAAAUCUGGCUGUCGAGAUGCCUAAAAAGCAUUUCAUAGCAAGGGCCGGGCAAGACCGGUGCCAGCCGCCGCGGUAACACCGGCGGCUCGAGUGGUAACCGUUAUUAUUGGGUCUAAAGGGUCUGUAGCCGGCCGGAUAAGUCUCUUGAGAAAUCUGGCAGCUUAACUGUCAGGCUUUCAGGAGAUACUGUCUGGCUCGAGGCCGGGAGAGGUGAGAGGUACUUCAGGGGUAGGGGUGAAAUCUUGUAAUCCUUGAAGGACCACCAGUGGCGAAGGCGUCUCACCAGAACGGACCUGACGGCAAGGGACGAAAGCUAGGGGCACGAACCGGAUUAGAUACCCGGGUAGUCCUAGCCGUAAACGAUACUCGCUAGGUGUCGGCCACGGUGCGACCGUUGUCGGUGCCGUAGGGAAGCCGUGAAGCGAGC
rnacentral:rRNA from 1 species